GCCCGCUUAGCUCAGAGGUUAGAG
rnacentral:tRNA from 4 species